rnacentral:rRNA from 1 species
GAGACUCUGUGCGCGUGCAUAUCAAUAAGCGGAGGAAAAGAAACUAACAAGGAUUCCCUUAGUAACGGCGAGUGAAGCGGGAAGAGCUCAAAUUUGAAAUCUUCAAGGUUCUACCUUGACGAACUGUAGUUUAUAGAAGUGUUUUCUGUUAGUGGAGUGGCAAAAGUUCUCUGGAAUAGGACGUCAUAGAGGGUGAGAAUCCCGUAUUUGGUCAUUCCUUCUAGCUUUGUGAUACACUUUCAAAGAGUCGGAUUGUUUGGGAAUGCAGUCCAAAAUGGGUGGUAAAUUUCAUCUGAAGCUAAAUAUUGGCGAGAGACCGAUAGCGGACAAGUACCGUGAGGGAAAGAUGAAAAGAACUUUGAAAAGAGAGUUAAACAGUACGUGAAAUUGUCAAAAGGGAAGCGUUUGACACCAGUGUUGUUUAGUUGAAAAUCAAUUCAAUAGUUUUUGAUUCUAAGUAGUAUUGACUUCAUCAGCUUGCUGCUUUCUUCUCAGAAAUUAUUGAAUGCACUUUUCAGUUAACAAGUCAACAUCAAUUUCUUUUGUUGUAAAAGGGUAAGAGGAAGGUGGCUUGCGCUUCGGCUCAAGUGUUUAUAGCCUUUUAUCUCUGCAAUCGGAGAGAUUGAGGUCUGCAGCGUAGAUCCUUCGGGGUUAGAUACAUUGGUGCUAAGCUAUAGCCUUGUAUAGACAGCUUGUUGACUAUGCUCAGUCAUGUAGCUUACUCGCUGAUGCUAUUUUACCUACGCUUAGGAUGUUGAAGAUGUAGCACAUCAU